UAUUCGCAAUAAGAAACUAUUAAGAUUCUUAAAACUUAAAUUUUUCUAUGAACUUUAGGCAUGCAUGGGAACUUUACUUAGAAAGAAUACAGAUGAGUCAACGUGUGUAUAAAAAAGACAGGCAACAUUUAAGUUGUGUGAUUCAUUCUGAAAUGCAAUUAGGUGGAAUGGUCACACAAGUCUCUAAAAGAUGUCAGUUAUUUGCGUUUUUGUAGGUGAUGAUGCAGAAAGUCGGAGGAGCCCCUCAAACGAAAAAUACGCGCCGUAAUCUGGGAUGCCAUCACGUAACUUGACUUAACUCGAUACAGUCGAGCUUUGAAAGUACUUUCGAUUAUGCCAAAUAAGAUGCUACUAAUACCCGAUUGUAUUGACCACAGCCAAAUGUAUCAAGUUACGUGCAUGUGGCUCUUGAUUUGGAACGAAAAAAUUUAAUUUAAUAAUAUUCUAUUGAGUUAGUUGAACACUUUGUCCAUCUAGUUGAUAGUAUUAUGAUGUGGCUGCAAAUUUAGACUGUUGUUUUCAAUUUGUAUAAUAUUUUCAUUAGUUGGACAUUAUAACUCGUGUGCUCUACCGAUAGCUUUACUAAUCUGAUUUGCAGUUUUUUUUUGUUGCAUGGCAUUGGAUGUGAGAGACACAAUCGCGAUAGUAUGUUAAUUAUAAUGUUGUUGCGAUUUUUAACUUUACUACCCCCAUCACGCUAUGAAAUUUAAACUAAACAAAAUUGAUUCAAAGCAGAAGGCUGCUGGUGUGCGAGUUGAGUUUGAGUUUAUUCAAUUUAUUUUAAAUACAAUUAUGCCAGAAUCUACAGAGGAAACUAUUGAAAGAAAAAAUAAAACACCAAUAAAACAGACAAGACACGGUUGCUUUACUAAGUCGACAAUUGUAGUUGUGAAUAUUUUAAGUUUUUUUUUUAAUUCAAGAAUAUUGAUGUGAAUACUUUUUUAUUUUAAUUUUUGUUUUAUUUAAUAUUUUUCCAUGAAUAAAAUUUUCAAAGAUAUCAUUCAA